GUAGGUAUAGUUUAGAUAAAACAUUAGAAUGUGGCCCUAAAAACAGGAAAUAAACCCAUCCUUACUUACC
rnacentral:tRNA from 1 species